GUGUUUCCCAAUGACCAGGGAAUGGGUGAGCCCCGAGCAGCCUCCAGCUGCACCGUUUCACAUGACUCAGAGUGGUCAGCUGCUCAUCAUGCUGGUCUCUCCUCCUCCCUUUCCUUAGCGAUCUGCAAAUAACUACCUACAGCCUCUCCCAGAAUAAUUUCAAAAUUGAAAGCACACACAUAAGACCCUCCUGAAGUGCCUCUGUUGAUGGAGCUGGGCUGAGUGCCCAGGCUGGGAAGAAGGAGCCUUUCUUGUGGCCUCCACUGCCCUCCCCAAGCCUGCGGCCUCGUUUUCUAGCCAACCUCUCACCCUGAGAAGCCCCAGUGGAGCCAGUGCAGGGGGAGACUUCCAUUCCUGGAAGGUUCAGAUCAAGCUUCAGCCAGCACUUAUGGCAGAGCAUUACUUUAAAGUAAUGCUCAAUGGUUGAAAAAACGUGGAAGAUGCUGAAUUUACAGGAACCCCAUUACUGGGAGCGAAACAGGAACCUUCAUCAUAUCACUAUUUUGACCCCACAGUUGGCAAACGUGUGACCUCCUUUUAUUUGGUCUUGAGUUCCUUUUUUAAAAAUCUCAUUGCACACAUCCUUUAUAUAACCUGCUUCAAAUUAUUUUUUGAGAAAAAUGUUUAAAAAACCAAAAAACCUUUUCUUUUGGGGAUGAUGAAAAUGUGAAAUUCGAAAAUGUUGUGUAGUGGUUACACAUUGUAAAUACACUGAAGCCCCUUGACUUAUGCCCUUAAAAUGAAUGCACCUAAUAGAAUGUAAAUUACGAAUCAUUACAACUUUUAAAAAACCUUGAGGUUAUUGGGGGUGGUGGGAGCAGAGAGACGGGACACACUAUUGAUUAUCCAAUGACUUCUAAUUUUCUGACUUAAGACAUUCACAGACUCAGGAGGAUCUUCGUAGAGGCAAUGAAGGGCAGUGCGGAAGCUGUUAGGGAUCCCAGCUUGACUGUUCCCUGGCUGACGCAGGUUCGGUGGAAAUGAUGGCAACUGCCAUGCGGUGGAUCCAUAUCCCAGCCCCUGCAAGGGCUGCUCUACCUGUGCGACGGCCAGCCCCGCAGCUGGGUUUGGCUACCCGGCCCCAAGGCUGAUUAGUCCGGAGACACACGUGACUUCAGCGGGCCAAUCAGCUGUGUCCUCCCCGAUACCACCCCUCCCUGUUGGGGAGUGCGAACUUGGGUUCCGAGGACACCGGUCCGUCUUUGUAAGGCACCUCCGGAUUUCUGCUGUUCACAUCCAGAGCGGUUUUGAUCACCAGUGGACCCCAGGAGCUUUCAGUGUCUCAUUCAGUCUGUGCAGGAGACCUGGGUUCAAUCACUGAUCCGGGAAGAUCCCGUGUGCCGCGGAGCAACUAGGCCAGUGCGCCACAACUAUCGAGCCUGUUUUCUCGAGCCUGGGAGCCGCAAGACCGUGGGCCACAACUGUUGAAGGCCCGCAUGUCAGAGCCCCUGCUCAUCAACAAGAGACACCACUGCAAUGAAAAGCCUGUACACUGCAACUGGAGUUUGCCAACCGUACACUAUCCCCUCUUGCUGCAACUAGAGGAAAGCCUGCAAGGCAAUGAAGACCCAGCACAGCCAUAAGUUCUAUAUAUAAAACAUGGGAAUCCAGAUGUGCAGCUCAUUUUGUGUCACCUGUCCCCUGAGAGCUUGGCACAAAGAGCUGAGCUUCUGGAGGGAGGCUUAUUAGUCUGACCCCAGCUCUCCUUUACUAGUUCUCGGAAUUGGCCAAGUCUUAGCUCCCACACCUAUAAAAUGGAAUCUAACCUCCAUCUGAGGUUGUGGAAAGGAUUAGAAAUAAAGGUGUAAAGUAUUUUGCAUAGUGUCUUGUGCAGAGCAGCCAUUUAAUAACUGACAAUUAUUAGUUUCUUAAAGGGUAAAUAAAUUCAGAAGAAAUUUGAGUUGAGACCCAGUUAAGUUACACCAACAAUUUUAUUGACAAGCGCAUUAAGUUUGGGGAAUAUUUCUAGCUCCCCUCCCCAAGUAUUAAAUAAGCUACCUCUUAACUUCUUUGUGGUUCAGUUUGCUCAUCUGUAAAGUAGGGAGUAACAGAGCUUUUGCAAAGACUAAUAAAUAACAACGUAUAGUAACUCUCUUAGAACAAGGCACACUGUAAGAGCUGUACAAGUGCUCACUAUUUUAACUGCUACCAUAUCAACACUCUGAAUUGCAGAUAGGCCAUGGUUCUCAUAAACUAGAGCUACGAAGGCUUUUGUACAGGGCUAGGGCGCAGGCCUGUCCUUACCGUACAAGGUGGCUCUGGAAGACUUGGGUUUUGGGGGUCCUGGCCCUGCUCUGCAGAUGAGUAUUAUCCUGGUACCUUUGCCCUCCCAUCUCCAACUCUUUGCAGAAAUACACUCCAGUACUCAACAAACAUCCGCUAACAG
ensembl:lncRNA